rnacentral:rRNA from 1 species
UGAAUCACACAACAGCCUGCCCGGUGACAAAGUUUAACGGCCGCGGUACCCUGACCGUGCGAAGGUAGCAUAAUCACUUGUUCUUUAAAUAGGGACUUGUAUCAACGGCAUCACGAGGGCUGUACUGUCUCCUUUCUCUAAUCAGUGAAACUGAUCCCCCCGUGAAGAAGCGGGGAUCCACCUAUAAGACGAGAAGACCCCAUGGAGCUUUAAGUCUGGUAUUUAACCCACGCCCAUAUAACCUCUUAGCUAUCAAGGCUAUAGAUACCCACUUUAGGUUGGGGGGACCGCGGAGUACAAUCUAACCUCCGCGACUAACGGGCCCCGCCCUUAUCUACGAGCUACAACUCUAAGAAUCAACAAACUGAUGUUUCAUGACCCAAAAAUUUGAUCAACGAACCAAGUUACCCUGGGGAUAACAGCGCAAUCCACUUCAAGAGUCCUUAUCGACAAGCGGGUUUACGACCUCGAUGUUGGAUCAGGGUAUCCCAGUGGUGCAGUCGCUACUAAUGGUUCGUUUGUUCAACGAUUAAAACCCUACGUGAUCUGAUUUU